rnacentral:lncRNA from 1 species
UUGUAAAUAUAUGUUUGUUAAAAAUAGGAAUGAUAAAUGUGGGAAAAGACCACUUCUCUGGCACAUGAACAGCUUUGGGUUUCAUCUUCAGCACAGAAUAUAUAUGCAUAUAACAUAUCCCUUCCCAAUGCUUCCAAGUCUUGUCAGAUAGUUUGAAGUCCACAGGUUUUUUUUUUGUUUGUUUGUUUUUGCUUUUUUGUUUUUUUGUUUUUUUUUUUUACAUUUUAUCCUGAGCAAAUAAUGUGAGCUUCAGGAUAAAAUGUAAUAAAUAGUCUUUGUGGCUAUGAGAUACAAUAUUAUACAGUAACUGAGAUUACAUUAACAAUCAAAUUUUAUAUGGAUUUCUUUUCUUUGGUAAGAUAAUUGUUAAAAUGAAGGUUGAGGGCCCACUGUAUUGGUGCCAAGCAAUAAAAGGGGGUUGAGUUUCAUGACCUCAAGUAUAGAGAGCAAGCCGUCACUGCUUACGGAGGAAGGAAUCACAGAAUCUGUUUCAUUGAAAAUUACACAAUAGUCACACAGCAGCUAGACAGACAGUGUGGGAGCAAAAUACACAGACUGAACCAGCGCACUUGGGUUCAGUCUUGUAGGUUGUUGUCCAGUCCAGGCGCCCACCUUUUCAUUUUUUACAUACAGAGAAAGAACUCUCUAAUGAUUUAAAAUGACUUUGUCCUUUAUAAUGUAGUGCUUGCAGCAGUUGAAGAAUCUACCAUCACUAAAAGUAAGGACUGAAGAGAACUCUAAUAUCUUUGACCACCACUGCAGCAAUUCAUUACCUCUUUCUUCCUUUUGUUUGUUUUUUCUCAUACAAUAUAUCCUGACAGUAACCUCUGCUCCCUCCCCUCCCUCCAUUCUUCCCAGCACUUCUGCUCUUUCCUUUGUUCCCCAAGUCCACUGCUCCUUCCCUUCCCUUUAGAAAAAAAGCAUGUCUUCCAGGGAUAUCAACCAAAUAUGCCAUAACAAGUUGCAAUAAGACUAGGCACAAACCCACAUAUCAAGGCUGGACAGGCAAGUUAGUAUGAGGAAAACGGACCCAAGAGCAGGCAAAAUAGUCAGAGAUACUCCCCACCCCCACUGCAAAGAAUCCCACAGGAACCACAAGCUAAACAAUCAGGACAUACAUACAAAAGUACUAGCUCAGACCCUGUGAUUGCCGCUUCAGUCUCUCUGAACCUCUAUAAGCCCCACUUAGUUGAUUGUGUGGACUGUCUUCUUUCUUUUAAGUGGUCACUAUCAUUCCCAUGCCUAGUGGUGCUCAGUAAAGCAGUUGUCUCAUUUUGGGACACUGUUAGGAACUAUGAGUUGCAGAGGAGGCCUUUGAUAACACCUAGAAAUAUUUUUGAUUGCCAUGAUUAGGGGAUGGGCUACUAUUGGAAUUUAGCAAUAAGAGGCACGGGGUGCUUAUAAAUGUCUUACAACAUAGAAGAUAUGAUCCGCACCCAGCAAUAAAGUGUAUUCAGGGCCAAAUGUCAGUAGUUUCCAGUAUUAUAUCAGAAGACAAGUGGAAACUAUCUUCUCUCUUUCUGUUUCCUAUUUCUAUCUUAAAUGUAAAACUUGUAGUCCUAAUUUUCACUUCCUAUAGUAGACUUCUGCCCUGCAGACAGCUCCCAGCACUAAGGCAGGUGCUCAGGAAAUGGUGAUUUAUUUUCAGUCCUUUGUCAACUAUCAUUAAGGUAAAGUCCAGUUUGGUACACACGGCAAACUAUUUGACUCCCGUAAAUUCUUUCUGGGGAUACUUUCCAUUGUACAACAGAAGGCCAACAGAAAAAGAAACAGAGUUCUCUCUCUCUUGUAUAUGUUCUUAAUUUCUUCUAUUUUUUUAAGAUUAUAAAAGAUUAUACGAUUUCCUCUUCCCCUUCCAUUUCCUCGCUCCAAAUCCUUCAAUAUGCCUUUCCAUUUUUCCUCUCUUGAAAAUAUAUACCUUUGUAUUUUAUUAAGUUGUUGUUACAUGCAUAUAUAAAUAAAUAGAUAUGCCUAAGAAUGACAUGUUCGGUCUGUAUAAUCUUAAUUGUAUGUAUGCUUGCAGGACUGAGCAUUUGGUGUUGGAUAACUAAUUGAUGUGCUUUUUCUUUCCUGGGGAGACUAUGUCUCCUCCCUCACCAUUUCUAUAGUUCCUUGUGUAGAGUUGAUGCCUCUUUGUCCUGUCUACUUUGGCAUAGCUAUUGUUGUCCUGGGUCACCUUGUGUUUAGGAGUUUAUGUUAGUGAGGCUUUACGGGUGUUAGCAUCUGACAUUGCUAGGAGACACAAUUCCCAGCAACUCCUCUUAUCUUCCUGUUCUUCUGGCCCUGUCUUCUGCAAUAUUCCCUGAGCUUUAGGUAUGGGAGUUGUUUACUUCACUUAAAGAGUGGUAAAGAAAUCUUAUUCUUAUUCUUUAAUAAGAAUUCAUCAACCUGAAACUUAAUAGGGUUUCCCAGUAAACCCUCUUAGAGAGAAUACCAGAAUUCCAGGAGGCCUGGGGUGAUUAUAUAAGUCUCUUAGGCUUUAAGUUAGAAACUACUGUGCUAAGAUUUGAACAUUACUUCAAAACUCUCUUCAAAAUGUUCUUCUAUGUUAUUUUCUCUUAGUUAUGUUCUUCUGUGUUACUUUCUCUUAGUUUUAUGUUCUUCUAUGUUAUUUUCUCUUAGUCAUCCUAAACAUUUUGGAUAUGCGUUUUCUCCCCUCCUUCUCACCAGCUAAUACUAAUUUGCUCAUCAAUGACUUAACUCCAAAGCCAAUUUUUAAGGAAUACUUUCCCCUAACCUGAGACUGUACCAACCAGCCAGACCUCCUCCUAAAUGCUUUUAGAACACAGCAUGACUUUACCUCAUGGUGACUGUCACAUUACAUCCAGGAUUAUUUGCAAGAGUAGAAUUCUUAGCUUUCUCUCUCUGUAUGCUAUAACAUAUUAUGAGAACCGGGCUGCUUCUCUUUGGGUAUCUUCUGAUACCUAGAUGUGGGAACAAAGCAGGCAGAAAGCAGGCACUCAGUAAACUAGUGACAAACCAGUUUCCCUCAGUAAGAUGAGCAAAAUCAUGAGAAUUAGGAUGGGUUUCAAUGUACAAUUCAAGGGAGGUAAGUCAGCAAGGCUUUUCCGAGUACAGAGGCAGUGGUAGACCUUACACCAGCUGUAUGAGAUAGUUAUGCCUGACAGGAUAAACACUGCUAAGCCAACACCAGCCCAUCUAGGUUCAAAACUAGACCUACGCACCCACUGUGGACAUUUGUAGCAAUAAAGCUGGGUGCCUGAUUUUCUGUUUUCUCUUCCAGUUUCGAUCUAUGUCCUCACCUCAUCCCACCUCAUUAUCUUUUAAGGAAAAGGUAAUCUGCACUUUCUUAUCAAAUCAACAAUAAUGAAACAAAAACAAACAAAAAAACCUGAAACCAAAACCAAACUUACAUUGUUGAGAUGGCGCAGCUGGUAAAGUACCUGUUCACAAACACCCAGAUCUGAGGUCCAUUCUCAAGUGGAUGUGGUCCUACGUGUGAUAAUCUCAGCUCUGAAGAAGUGAAGAAUGAUAGGUCUCUGGGGCUUGGGACCUGGCCAGCACAGCCUAGCUGGCAAGUUCUAGGGCAGGACUAUAGUGCCUCAGGAACAAUACCCAAGGCUGUCCUCUGCUCUCCAUAUGCACACACACACACACACACACACACACACGGUUUGUAUUCUGGGUGUUAUGUCUUUUUCAGAACUGAUUUUUCUUUUCUUGAUUUCCUUUUUUUAACGAGCUGGGUAGUUUGGAUUUUGUUUUUAUUUUGUCCUGUUUUGUUAACUUGAGAUAGGGUCUGGCUUUGCUCUUCAGGCUUUCUCCGACUUGUGGCCCCCGACUCUGUUUAGCUCUCCGAAUGCUGGCGUUUAUAGACAUGUCCACAACAUUGACUUUUGCCUGACAAUUUUUUUUACAUUUAUCCAAGUACUUUUUUUUAUCUUUUUGUUAAAUCUUCUCCUCUUGGCCACCCUAUUCUCUCCAUCUACGUUUCUUAAAAACAUUAUCUUUACCUUUGUAUUUGUCUCCUCAUCUUCCACAGCUGUUCUCCUGGAAUAUUUUUAAUGAAAUAAAAAAUGUUAGCUUUAUUUUGCAACGGUAUAUUGAAAAUGUCUGAUGCAUAUCUCAAUGUAACACCUUUGGAGCCUCUGGGGCAUGAUGCACUUUGUUCUUUUUAAAACUUCUCUCAUUGAUUCUCUAAGGAGGAUGCCCUCCGGUGUCCCUUCCCAGUCCUGCAAUCAUCUUCUCUGAAGCUACUCUGUCAGAUGGGCUUCCUGUCCUAUGCCAUUGCUGCUCUUCUCAAAGAUCUGCAAUUCCUGAUAGAUUCUCUUCUGUUUUCCAGUGAGUAUUUCUAGUAAAAAUUUAAAAAAAUAUAUAUGUUUUCAAGAAUUAAAAUUCCCAGCAGGGAAACAGUAGUGCAUGCCUUUAAUCCCAGCAUUCAGGACGCAGAGACAGGUGGAUCUCUGUGAGUUCAAGGCCAACCUGGCCUACAGAGUCAGUUUCAGGACAGUCCGGGUUACACAAAGAAGUCAUGUCUCAAAUCCAAAGGAAAACAAAACAUAAACAAGCAAACAAGCAAAAACCAAAUAAAAACUGAAUAAAAAUUUCCAAGCAUGCUGAAGGAGAUGGAUCAGCAGCUAAAAGCACUUUGUCACACAGACCUGAGAACCCGAGCGUGGAGCCGCAGCACCCUGAUAUGGUGACUGACGUCUGUAAUCCAAUACUCCUAGUCAUGUCUCUCUGCAUGGACCAGUGCAAUAUCUGACUCAUUGGUCUUAUUGCACGUCUGUCUGUAACUAAUUAUCAGAACAUAGGGUUCAUAUAAAACUACCUCUGUGCUAGAUCCGAGACACCCGCUGCUCUGUGAUAAGCAACACCCUUACUGUCUCUGCUCCUUCAGGAGAGCAAGAUUCUGUGCCAUUUUCCCUUCCAUGUCACAUAUUCUCCUGAACCAUUUCAGGUACUGUUUCCUCGUUCGACACUCUUUUCCCCCUCAAGUUUACUAUCUUUCCACGGGAAGACAUUUUAUAUCUAAGAACAGGCUAGACCAGUACUAAUGGCUUUGACUGUCCUAGAAAAUAUCCGGAUUUUCUUUAUCAGACUCUACUUUCCAUAAAGACAUAAGCCCAAUGAAGAGGGAACAUUGCCUGCUGCAUACAGUACCUCCUAAGGUGUCCUUCUCUCUUUAUUUCUUUCCUCUCUUCCUCCUUUCCUUCCCAGCUAACUUUGAAUUCUAUAAUUUAAGUGUUAUAUGAAUCAGUACCCCUUCUCCACAGAAAGACAAGAUUGUCAGGGACAGAACUGUGGAAAGUAGGCAUAGGUCUUGAGAAAAUGAAUCUGGAUGGUAAGGAAAUGCUGUUUAUAUUGGUAGAGAGACAAUGGAGCCUUGUGUUCAGAAGACCAUAGGGUUCAAAAAAAUGCAGAGCAAAGAUCAGAUGAUAUUAAGGGGCAAACUGGUUAACCCAGUUAAAGUGCUCAGGAUAGAGAUGAGAGAAAAUAUGUAGGUGUGGUCUCUUUCUAUGGGUUGUGCAUAGUUGUUCACUUCAGCUUUCCUAGACUAAGGCGGCAGCAUCCCUUAGAUGACAAUUACAAAGACUCUUGGGGAAUUGGGAAGUCAUUUGUGACUAGGUGAAGGUUUGUCCUUGUAUAGACUUCACUCUAGCAUAUGGUUCUCACAUUAGAUCCUGUUGGCUUGAGGUGAGCAAAGGACGUGAGGAAGUGGGAAAUCGAAGCUGGGUAGUGUACACACAGGGUGCUGACAUUCAAAUGUUCAUGUCAACACAGCUGCCACUGCUGAGAUUUUGCCUGCCAUCUAUCAAAGGACUGGAGAGGAAAUAACAUUCAAAUAGUCUUGGCAUGAGAGUAAUUUAGGAAGAAGGGCUUGGGGAGUGAACUGCUUGGAAAAUUCAACACAAGGACAUGACUUUGGAAUUGAAUUGUAUUAGCAAUAUUUAUGAAGGUUUUCGUGAAUAUAGACAUUUUAUACUUUUUUUUUUCAAGUUGAUUGAAAACAACGUUGCUUUAUAAUGAAUAUUGAGACUGGACAGUGUUUUCCUUGAAAUUGUCUGCCUAUGAAUAUGAUAAAACUAAAUAGCAAAAUUACAUUUAUAACUACUGCCUUUCCUUGACUAUUGAAAAUCUUCCAUCCUGAGAAUGUAUAAGAAUCUUUUGUUCAAGAUGUGGGCAUGGCAAACUUUUAUGCAGGUUUCUCAUUUCCUAGCUUAGCCUCUACUGCCAUCUAGUGGCAGUAAAAAUCAUCAGUAAAAAAGUUUAAUUCCGUCUUAGAAUUUACAAUACAAUUCUUCGAUAUCACUAAUAAUGAUACCGACAAAGCUAAUUGCAACCUGGUAAUAAUUAUGCUAUAUAAUUUAAAGUUAUAAAGACAAAUAAAUAGAAAAACUUACACACACCCGUAUAUAAUCUGCAAGUAAAAUAUUCAGCAUUGAGACCCAAUAUCUACUAAAUAUUCAGGGAAAAUCCCUUGUAUAUUAAACACAAAGAUAGGAAAAAUGAUGGAUUAUUAAAUUUUCCCCAGACUUUGAGAAAAUGAUUUUUAAUUGAGUUACAUAGCAAGAUGGAAACCAAAUUCUUGCCUGGAACUCGAAAUUAUUUCUUCAUCAUCAUUAAGAGAUAGAAUAGUAAAGUCACAGAUGUGAAAACCCACACUCAUCUUUAGGGUUACUUUCUCCUUAGACUUUCGGUUAAUUGUCAAAGGCUGUGUACAUAAAGACUUACUUGGGAAUCUAGCCUCUGUAGAGUGAUAAAUUCAAGAAACCAAUGGGUCCAGCAUACCCUGGGUCUUUCUAGAGUGUUUACCUCCUGCACAGGAACUCAGGUGGGGUGUGAACCUAUCUCUAGAUACCUGUGAGAAAAUUAAAACAUUAAAGGUUUGUGGGUUCCUUGAAUUUGAUUAAAGUGCACUUCUCCUCUCCUCUCCUCCCCUCCCCUCCCUCCCCCCCCCAUCUCUCUCUCUCUCUCUCGGUACACAUGAGAUACAUGGACCCAUGUGGUAUAUAUAUGUGCAGCAUAUACAUGUAUGUACACAGUAUGUGUGAGAAUGCAUGACUACACCCAAAGAGGCCAGAGGAGUUGGACAUACAUCCUGAUUUAUCACAUUUUUUGUUUUAUUCCCUUGAAACAAGGUCUCUCAUUGAACCCUGACAUUAGAGGUUGCCAAUUUUUACAGGUUACCUGUGAGCCAACAAGCCCAUACAAUCCUCUAGUUCCUGUUACCCCUCCUAGUGCUGGGGUAACAGACACCCAGGGCCAUAUGGCUUCUCACGUAGGUGUUCAGAAACUGAACUCUGUCUUUGUGCAUGCACAGUGAGUGUUCUUACCAUGAAGUUAUUUUCCCAGCCCCUGGUUAGUUGUUGACAUUUUGUUGUUAAGCAGAUGCCAUCACUACAUUCCUUUUGGGGGCAAUAAACUUGCUAACUAGCUAGUUGAGUGAUGGUCAGAGCCAUCCAAGGAAAGUAAGAAAUCAACCCCCACCACACUGCAUUAUUCUCUCUCACAUUAUCUUUAUAAGGGACAUUAAGAAUUAAAUGCAUUUGAUAUUUGUUCACCUAUUUAGCCAAUGAUUAGUUCCUUAAAUAUCCAUCACCAAACUACUGGGUGAGAAGCAAUGUACACAGGGCAAUGAGGCCAUAGUCUCCAUUCCCAAGGAAUUAUAAUCCAAAUGUUAUAAAAUGUUAUUUUAUUUUAAUAACAGAUAGUGUUCCACCAUGAAACUUAGAUAGUGUUUAUCCAUGGAAGCUGACAUGAUAGAAAAGGAUGUAAGUAUUCUUGGAUUUUAGAGGCCAAAGAAAGCCCAGCAAGUCACGUGGAUAGGAGAGAAGCAGCUGUUUUAAAGCACUGUCACAUUGCUUAUGCAGUGAAGAGUGUCUAAUGGUUUGGGUAUAUUUGAGUACCCCACACAGGUCCAUAUUUUCAAAGUUUGACCCUCAAUAUCAUGGUGUUGAGAAGACAGAAUCUUUCCGAAGAUGGAGCCUAGAGUGGAUAACUAGAUUAUUGGGUCACUGCCAUCAGAGCGAUGAAUCAGCUGUUGUCAUAUAUUGAGUUAUGUCUCACAAUAGAAGGUGGUUAUUAAGUGACAGUCAGGCUCACUUGUCUCCAUUCCCCCAUGAAACCAACUUUCUUUAUGCCUUACCCCAAGCUACAAUCCAGCCAGGGUGAUUUUUUUCAAGAGGUCAACCUAAUAUAGCCUUUCCAUGCUGACUUUCAGCCUUCUAAAUUAUGAGCUAAAUAAACCCUUUCUGCUAUAAACUAUUCUUAUAAAGAUAUUAUUCUCAAGUAUUAUGCCACAGCAACCGAAAAUGGAGUUGUCUAACUUUAUUAUGUGUCAGAGGAGAUAAAAGGGAGAUAACGUAAUUCUGUAAUGGAACUGUUAACAUAAUGGGCCAACAAGUAAUCAAUUUGCCUACAUUAUGAACAAGUGUUGAUAACCAGUCAUAUAUUUAUUCAUCAAAGUUAGAGUGUAGAAGUCCAAGGAAACUGUGAAAAUUUGUAAAUAAUCAAGAAAAAAUUUGCUAGAGUAGUCCUUUGGGAAAGUUAAUGGAAGGACCAAACAUAAUCUGCUGGAAAAUAUAAUGGAUUGUAACGGAGAGAAGAUGGACUUUCAUAUCUGAUGGGGAGACUAUCUCUGUAGGACUGAAGGUAUAUGAGAAACCUCAGAGGUAGGACAGACAGAACUUUGAACACUUAGAUUUGGGGAGAAAAAGAGAAAAGAGAGGAAAGAAGUUGAAGACAACUCUAGCUAAAAAGCUAGAAAUGUGAGAAAGUUAAUAGCAUAAUGAAAGGCAGAGGGGUGAGAGACCUUGGUGGAAACACACCACUGAAAAGUCAUGUGCUGCAAACAUGCACACUGUUAUCAGAAACACAUAAUGUACUAGGUCAAAGAAUCAGAGGUCUGGAAGAUGUCUGUAAAGAUUUAAACUCCAUUACCAUGCGUGCAGAAUCCAUAACAUAGAGGCUUCCAUAAAGAAAGUAAGGUAAGAACUAUUUAAAUACAUCCAUAGAUAAGCACCUUCGCAUCCUGGGGACCAAUCACAGCAUGCUCAGAUAUAGUCUAUUUAUUAAAACUAUCUGACUCUUUCUUUUUGAACAUUGUUAAUUUUUCAUGCUGGUUCUACUCAGAGCUCAACAGAAUUCUCAUUCAUAAGAUACUGUAUCUGCUAUUUCACAGCAGUUCAGACCUUCACCUUCCUUCUUUUAGAUAAACAAUUACUGGUCCUUUUGUGUAUUUCCCCAUGCAAAGUUAUUUGCAGGUUGGUGUCUUGAUAAUUGAAUAGACUUUGUUUAUAUCUUCUUCAAUAUGUUUGUAUACUUCAGACAUACCAAACACACUACCCAGGAAAUCUUCAGUACAUACUAUGUGCCUAUCUUGCUGUAGAGUUCACCCCCUAAACCAACAUACAGAAUUCUUCUAUGAGUGAGCAUCAUUGCAGGAAUAAAAUCUUUCUUUAAAAUUGAUCAUAGUUUAGAGUGAUGAAAAGAUACUCCAUUAUUUAAAGUUAUCACUUGACUCAGAGAAUCUUGCCUUAGUAUUAUGUAAGUGCUUUAUAGACCAUCUCUAUUUCAGAGACUUUAGUUUGUGCAUAAUCAUAAAAAGGCCCUCUUUGACAUCAUUCCAUCUUUACUGUAUUAGAUUGAAGCAUCUAUUACUCAAAGUCACACUGUCAUGGUAUUACCAUUACCAAGAAAUACGGUCUUUGAGAUUCAGUUUCUAAAAUGGCAUAAACGAACCCAUAUUGGAUGGAACCUGUAAGUAUCAUAUCUAGAUGUGGAUACAUGAUAGAAAGUUGCCUAGCAUGUAGAAGGCUCUGUUUGAUUACCCAGCACUACCAAAGAUAACAAUAAAAACAGUACAUUUAAAUAAUAACAGUACAUAUAAAAAACACAGCUCUAUAUUGCUCCACAUUUGUAUGGUUUUAAUAGCUUAUAUGAGGAUCUGAGGAAAAAGCUGGAUGCCUUACAUGAGUUUACCCUUGUGUAAGUGCAAAGAGGUUUCUGCACCAUUAGAACACAAUUGAUUGGGAGAGGCUCUCAAGAAGCCAGAGAGACAAGUUAGGAAGAAAAGCCCUUGGAAAGGUGGAAUAUCAAAGUUGUCAUCCUGAUCAAUGGAUCUGUGUCUAUCAACACAUCUGAAAACCAUGCAGUGCCUUUUUUAACAGUCUCACACAGGACACUGGGCCAUAUGUGUUCUCUGCCCUUUGGCCAGAAACUUAUGGACUCAUCAGGGGGAAAGAGAGCUCAAGGCAAAAAAAAAAAAGGGAGUCUGGGGACUGAGCACAUAUGUGAGGAGGCUGCUAUCUUGAAUGCCCUGAGCUUGCAAAGAUGCCCAGCAUAAAUAUGAAGGAACUACAAACACAGCCACUGAGAUCUGCCAGGUGACUCUUUAGGGUAUAUAUAUUUGUAUGUGUAUAUACAUAUAUAUAUAUAUACAUACAUACAUAUACACACACAUAUCAAACGAGUCAUAGAAUUCACUAUAUAGACAUUUUGUUCCAAUUACCCCAAAACCUUUAGGAAAGAACAAACAAUUCUCAGAAAUUGUUGUACCUAGGACUUCUUAGCAUUACCAUGAUGAGAAAGCAAUAUGAACACAGAUAAAACUGUGCUCUGGAUUGCCUUGGUGCUGUUUGUAUUUUAAUGCUAAUUCUGCUUCUCACAAAAGGGCUGUCUCAGACCAGGAGAGAGUCACUUACUGAGGUGAUUUCAUGUGAACCUUCUCCAUUUUUAACUGGUAAAAUAUAGGUCUGUGAUUGGGCAGUAGAAGGGAAAAGUGGAGCUGAAAGUUGUAGAUGCCCGACUCACCAGCAAGUGAGAUGCCACAACAGGAUUCUUCUGCACAGGUUUAUUGGGAGAGCUUGAUUGUGAAGGGGAAAGAUCCUGGUGCUGCUUAUAUAGGCCUAGGAGAGGCGUGUCUACACCCGAUUGGUUAUGCUUUCAGUACAUCAUUUACAUGCCUAGGGCCAGGCCAUGACUCAGCACAAACUCUUAUGCACAUGCGCACAUUGGUUGUUUACCCAUAUUCAUGGGCGUCAGCUUGUUGAAACCAGUGCCAUCUUGUAAUGGCAUUUAUCGGCUUCCCACAGAAAGUUUUAGAGAGGUGACACACACACACACACACACACACACACACACACACACACAGAGAGAGAGAGAGAGAGAGAGAGAGAGAGAGAGAGAGAGAGAGAGAGAGAGAGAGAGAAGAUGGAAUCAGGAGAAGAUAGAGCUUCCCCACGUGGUCUGGAAGAGCCACAAGUAGCUAGGCAUUUCAUAGAUGGGCAAUAAGCACUGUAAGGUACAUUUGCCCAGUCUAGGUGUGCAGCUUGAGUUUUGUGUUCUUUGUGGAGGCAUUUUGGGGUUGGAGAUUUACUGUUAUGGAUCCGACUGGUUAUUACAAGUCUCUAGUGCUAUCAUUUUAUCAGGUGCAGGCUAGCCUCAGGGGCUAAAUGGCCUGGGAAAUGUGAGAGGCUUGCCAGCAAACUAGCCAACGGAACUAUGGGGGCAGACAAGACCUCAGUUGCUUGUGCUUAGCUGGUUUAGCUUGGUUUGUUUUUUAAAACUGCAUGCUGCAAAACUGUACUUUAACUUUGAACUUUGAACUCAUUCACACAAAGGAUUUUUGAAUAAAAGCUACGAUGCUUCUUCUCUUGAUAUUUUUAUUUUUACAACGAAUAUCUUUGUUGCUUUCUAGUCACUUGUAUGUUUUUCUGCACUCAGUAUUUAAGAUGCUAAAACAGACUCAUUAAAAUUAAAAGAGCUGAAUGGAUUUCAUGCCUGCUUAAUAUUCGGGGUUUUGAUAGACAAAUGAAUAGAUAGAUAUAUCACUUUUGCUUUCAGCAUUCCUGUAAACCCUUAACAAUUGAAUAUGUCAAACACUGUUUAUGAAUAUAAAUUAUAUCUAUCAAAGUCUAUCACAGAAGAAAUUGAAACUGUAUAUCAUUAAAAUGUAUCAUAAAACCACAACAUAUUAAAACAAAUAUCAAGGUUUUCUAAAAAUAUCUGCAUUUUGUGACAAGUUUGGCAUUAUUAUAUACUUUAACAAAUGUCUUUUGGUGUCUGGAUUAAUAGAAGACAGCAGAAUGCUCAUGUCUGUCUCCCUCAUUGAUCUGUUUUGAGAUGUAGUUUGGGUGGAAGUAUAUGAAGAAAAUCCAACCUUACCCCACUGUACAUUAGAAACAACAGUAUGUUGUAACAGACACUAUAGGUAAUUUCAAUAUUCUUUGAGAGUGUACCAAAAACCCAUCAAAAGGAAUUCCUUAAAAUUAGGGAUCAAUUCUAAGUCUAAAAUUGUUUUGAAUCUUCAUGUUUUCGUCUUUAGGAAAAUAUUGGUUCAUCGACUUAUCUGUACUUGUGAAAUGUUCUAAUUUAACUGGAAAUUAAAAUAACACUUGUUAAUAAGAUCACCUUUCACACAUGAUUAGUUUUUCAUGUACUGGAAAGCUGUCAUUCUUAUGGUGGUGAAUUCAAGUUCGCAUAAUGCCUAAUCCUAAUUUGAAAGGUUCAAUUUUAUCAGUGGUAAUAAAGACUUGUAAAGUUCUUUCCUUAAAGAAGAAGACACCUGCUUUUGUGCUUUUAAGAAAUUGUAUGCCAGUUAUGCAAAUCUGAAUACAGAUAAUGUUCCUGUCAUUCUCUCAGUAAAAUGUAAUGGCCUGUGUAUUCAUAGGUCUAGAUUUUAUAAAAUGAUAACUUGCUACACUCUCAUUAAAACCAUUUUCCAGUAAAUCCAAUGUUUUUUUUUAUUUUCCCUUUGUCAAAAGGUGGGGUGUUGAAGAAAUAGCAAAUAACGAAUAAGUUAGAGGCCACUGCCAGUCUUUUGACUCAUAUGAUUUUAAUUUUGCAUCAUUAGUACAAAUGUCAAACUUGUAGAAAGAGUCCUGUAACAUCUUGAUAUGUUUAUGACAGCUUUGUUGGCCUCAGGGAUCUUCAUAGUCUUUAGUACUGACAGAGACCCACAAUCCAGGCUUGGGGAACUGCCAAAGUAGAGGACAAAUGUGCCAUAAGUCAUUUCCAUCCUUAAAAUUUUCUCAAGUAGUCAUUAAGUUGCACUCCCAGGUGGGAUCAAGCCCAUGAUCUGAGGACAUCUAAAUCCCAGUCCCC